UACAGAGGGGGCAAGCGUUGUUCGGAAUUACUGGGCGUAAAGGGCGCGUAGGCGGCCUGCUAAGUCGAACGUGAAAUCCCUGGGCUCAACCCAGGAACUGCGUCCGAUACUGGUUGGCUUGAAUCCGGGAGAGGGAUGUGGAAUUCCAGGUGUAGCGGUGAAAUGCGUAGAUAUCAUUUGGAACGCCAAUGGUGAAAACAGGUUGCUGGGAGUGUGCUGACGCUGAGACACGAAAGCCAGGGGAGCGAACGGG
rnacentral:rRNA from 1 species